rnacentral:pre_miRNA from 1 species
AGGUGGAGGCCGGAUCCUUGGCUGUGUCCCCGGCGCCCUGUGCUCCCGGGCCUGCGCUGUUGGAUUCGCGCUGUCGGCUGGGCAGCCCCCU